rnacentral:rRNA from 1 species
CCUACGGGAGGCAGCAGUGGGGAAUAUUGCACAAUGGGGGAAACCCUGAUGCAGCAACGCCGCGUGAAGGAAGACGGUUUUCGGAUUGUAAACUUCUGUUCUUAGUGAAGAAUAAUGACGGUAGCUAAGGAGCAAGCACCUGCUAACUACGUUCCAGCAGCCACGUUAAUACGUCGGUGGCAAGCGUUGUCCGGAAUUACUGGGUGUAAAGGGAGCGCAGGCGGGCAGCCAAUUCAGCGGUGAAAACUACGGGCUUAACUUGGAGACCGCAGUUGAAACUGGUUUUCUUGAGUGAAGUAGAGGUGGGCGGAAUUCCGAGUGGAGCGGUGAAAUGCGUAGAUAUUCGGAGGAACACCGGUGGCGAAGGCGGCCAACUGGGCUUUAACUGACGCUGAGGCUCGAAAGUGUGGGGAGCAAACAGGAUUAGAUACCCGUGUAGUC